CUCUACCCUCCCACCUCUACGUGGGGCGGGUGGCGGCGUAGCUACGUCGCCGGCUCAAGGGGGCCGGUUCAGGCUGGGUGAGACUCGCUGGAUCCCCGGAUCUCGGUUUCGCUUUUGCGGGCGCUCCCAUUUCCGAGACCGAGACUGCCUUGUAUUUAUUUGCUCUACUGCUCUCCAGCCGCAAUUUAGAAGUUUAUUCCCUGAGCUAGAAUCUGCCGCAGAGAAGUGGGGCUGAGAGGUUGAAGAGGCUGGAGGGACCGCAGAAUCCCUUAGCACCCUGACUGGCCCAUCCUUAGACCUAGAGGCAGGGCCACGUGGCUAGCACUCUAGGCCACGCAGAGGAGGUGCUCAACUGCUAGGAAAGCUAAUUUCCUAGUGGCACCUCGGCCCUACGUUUGACCAUCUCUAACACACCAGGACCCUUAGGAAGGGCCUCAUAGAGAUCAACUUGGACCUGUUACCGAGGGUCUGCUACUCCUCAGAGAAGUGGAGGCACUUUUACAAGAAUACUGUUACGGCCUGUAUCUAGAUGUCCCCCAAGGCCUCCUGUGGUCAUAGGUGUGGCAUUCGUAGAUGGCUGCAUCAAGGAUGUGUGAUGGUGGGAUUAAGGAUGUGCUUUUGCGAUUAAGGUUAUGAUGCUGAGGUUACAGGUGCCCCACCCUGGGUGUGGGUAGCACCAAUCAAUGGAUGGGUAUUCUGGAUGAAAUACAAAAGCUCCCUUGGUUCUGCUGCUGCUGCUGCUGCUACUUUGCUGCUUUGCUGCUUUCUGAUUGUCAUGUUAUGAACCAUUUCUCCUCUGUGAUGCCCCUCUGCCACCCUGCCUUGGGACCAGCCUGAAUCCCCUAUGAACUGAGUAUUCUCUAUUGCUCUACUGGGUCCUGUCUGCCUUGAAAAGAUCCAGCUGCUGAACUGGUAAGAAGUUGACUGCUGCUUCUGCACACAGAGCACAGGAACUGACAUGGCUGUGAGUGCUGGAUUUGCUGUACCUUGGAAUUGCUGUGAGACUUGGGCCAGUUUAUCAUCCCACCUCUACAAGGAGCUCUCCACUCCCAAAUGACAUGAAUUGAGCAACUUUUCUCCACCAUGACCUUCUUCUUCCAUGAUGUUUCUGCCUCAGAGACAGUUGACCUUGGACUGAAACCAUGAGCCAAAAUAACCUCUCCUCCUUUCAGUUGAAUGUGUCAGGUAUGUUGUCCCAAGAAAGUUGAUCAAUACAAAGGUGCUAUUUUAUUGUGGUUGUGAUUUGUAUAUCUCUAAUGAUUAACGAU